rnacentral:misc_RNA from 1 species
GAUGAAGAACGCAGCGAAAUGCGAUAAGUAAUGCGAAUUGCAGAAUUUCCGUGAGUCAUCGAAUCUUUGAACGCAUAUUGCGCCCUCUGGUAUUCCGGAGGGCAUGCCUGUCCGAGCGUCAUUGCAAACCCUCAAGCACGGCUUGUGUGAUGGGCUCUAGCGUCUGCUUCCCCGGCAGACGAGCCUGAAAGAUAGCGGCAGCGCGGUGCGAUCAGCCACAGUGUAUGGGAACUUCACACGCUGGCGGCGCGUACCCACGCUCGUCUCUCUAUUCUCUCGUGGUUUGACCUCGGAUCAGGUAGGGAUACCCGCUGAACUUAAGCAUAUCAAUAAGCGGAGGA